GCCUAGCCAUAACACACAAUCAAACUACAAAUUGUUCGCCAAACAACUACGAGUAAUACUUAAAACUUAAAAGACUUGACGGUACUUCAUCCCGACCUAGAGGAGCCUGUCCAAUAACCGACAAUCCACGAUUAACCCAACCCCUUCUUGCCCCACAGUCUAUAUACCGCCGUCGUCAGCUUACCUUGUAAAAGAAAUAAAGUAAGCUAAACAGUAUCACACUAAAACGACAGGUCGAGGUGUAACUUAUGAAGAGGACCAAGAUGGGCUACAUUCUCCAACCAAGAAUACGAAUAACACUAUGAAAUUAAUGUUUAAAGGCGGAUUUAGCAGUAAGAUAAGAAUAAAAUACCUAACUGAAUAUAACGCAAUGAAGUGCGCACACACCGCCCGU
rnacentral:rRNA from 1 species